CCUACGGGUGGCAGCAGUAGGGAAUCUUCCACAAUGGGCGAAAGCCUGAUGGAGCAACGCCGCGUGGGUGAAGAAGGUCUUCGGAUCGUAAAACCCUGUUGUUAGAGAAGAACGUGCGUGAGAGUAACUGUUCACGUCUCGACGGUAUCUAACCAGAAAGCCACGGCUAACUACGUGCCAGCAGCCGCGGUAAUACGUAGGUGGCAAGCGUUAUCCGGAUUUAUUGGGCGUAAAGGGCACAUAGGCGGUCUUUUAAGUCUGAUGUGAAAGCCUUCGGCUUAACCGGAGUAGGGCAUUGGAAACUGGGAGACUUGAGUGCAGAAGAGGAGAGUGGAACUCCAGGUGUAGCGGUGAAAUGCGUAGAGAGAUGGAAGAACACCAGUGGCGAAAGCGACUUUCUGGUCUGUAACUGACGCUGAGGUUCGAAAGCGUGGGUAGCAAACAGGAUUAGAUACCCCUGUAGUC
rnacentral:rRNA from 1 species